AUCGACCGAUAGUGAACCAGUACCGUGAGGGAAAGGCGAAAAGAACCCCGGGAGGGGAGUGAAAUAGAACCUGAAACCGCAUGCAUACAAACAGUAGGAGCCUCGUCAGAGGUGACUGCGUACCUUUUGCAUAAUGGGUCAGCGACUUACAUUCUGUGGCGAGCUUAACCGAAUAGGGGAGGCGCAGCGAAAGCGAGUUCGAAAUGAGCGUCCAGUCGCAGGGUGUAGACCCGAAACCAGAUGAGCUAUCCAUGGCCAGGUUGAAGGUGUGGUAACACACACUGGAGGACCGAACCGACUAGUGUUGCAAAAUUAGCGGAUGAGCUGUGGAUAGGGGUGAAAGGCCAAACAAAUCUGGAGAUAGCUGGUUCUCCCCGAAAACUAUUGAGGUAGUGCCUCGUGUGUCGCUCCAGGGGGUAGAGCACUGUUUUGGCUAGGGGGACAUGGAGUCUUACCAAACCAAGGCAAACUCCGAAUACCUGGAAGCGUAAGCACGGGAGACAGAGCACCGGGUGCUAACGUCCGGACUCAAAAGGGAAACAACCCAGACCGCCGGCUAAGGUCCCCAAUAACAGCUAAGUGGAAAACGAAGUGGAAAGGCCGUGACAACCAGGAAGUUGGCUUAGAAGCAGCCAUCCUUCAAAGAAAGCGUAAUAGCUCACUGGUCGAGUCCUUCUGCGCGGAAGAUGUAACGGGGCUAAGCUGUUAACCGAAGCCGCGGAUGCACUGAUUAUUCAGUGCGUGGUAGGGGAGCGUUCUGUAAGUCUGCGAAGGCGGUUCGAGAGGACUGCUGGAGAUAUCAGAAGUGCGAAUGCUGACAUGAGUAACGUUAAAGCAGGUGAAAAGCCUGCUCGCCGUAAGCCCAAGGAUUCCUGCUCUACGUUCAUCGGAGCAGGGUGAGUCGGCUCCUAAGGUCAGGCCGAAAGGCGUAGCCGAUGGGAAUCAGGUUAAUAUUCCUGAACCUGCGUCAGAUGCGAUGGGGGGACGGAGCAUGAAAGAUCAUCCGGGUGUUGGAUGUCCCGGUUGACGAGCGUAGGAGGUCUGCAGGCAAAUCCGCAGACGCAUCUCCAAGGCGAAGUCACGUGCCGCCACGGCGGCGAAGUGAUCGGAAGUGCUUCCAAGAAAAGCCUCUAAGCACCAGUCUGGCGCGGACCGUACCGCAAACCGACACUGGUGGGCGAGCUGAAUAUGCUCAGGCGCUUGAGAGAACUCGGGAGAAGGAACUCGGCAAAUUGACACCGUAACUUCGGAAGAAGGUGUGCCGUAGUAGCGUGAGAGGAGAGACACCUUGAGCGUGAAUCGGUCUCAGAGAAUAGGUGGCUGCGACUGUUUAUUAAAAACACAGCACUCUGCAAAGUCGAAAGACGACGUAUAGGGUGUGAUGCCUGCCCGGUGCUGGAAGAUUAAUUGAUGGGGUGAGAGCCCUUGAUCGAAGUCCCAGUAAACGGCGGCCGUAACUAUAACGGUCCUAAGGUAGCGAAAUUCCUUGUCGGGUAAGUUCCGACCUGCACGAAUGGCAUAACGAUGGCCACACUGUCUCCUCCCGAGACUCAGUGAAGUUGAAAUGUUUGUGAUGAUGCAAUCUACCCGCGGCUAGACGGAAAGACCCCAUGAACCUUUACUGCAGCUUUGCAUUGAACUGUGAACCGAUUUGUGUAGGAUAGGUGGGAGGCAGAGAAGAGGCCACGCCAGUGGUCUUGGAGCCGACCUUGAAAUACCACCCUGAUUUGUUUGCGGUUCUAACCACGGACAGUGAUCCUGUCUUGGGACCGUGCAUGGUAGGCAGUUUGACUGGGGCGGUCUCCUCCUAAAGGGUAACGGAGGAGUACGAAGGUACGCUAGGUACGGUCGGAAAUCGUGCUGAUAGUGCAAUGGCAAAAGCGUGCUUGACUGCGAGAGCAACAACUCGAGCAGAUGCGAAAGCAGGUCAUAGUGAUCCGGUGGCUCUGAAUGGAAGGGCCAUCGCUCAACGGAUAAAAGGUACUCUGGGGAUAACAGGCUGAUACCGCCCAAGAGUUCAUAUCGACGGCGGUGUUUGGCACCUCGAUGUCGGCUCAUCUCAUCCUGGGGCUGUAGUCGGUCCCAAGGGUAUGGCUGUUCGCCAUUUAAAGAGGUACGUGAGCUGGGUUUAAAACGUCGUGAGACAGUUUGGUCCCUAUCUGCCGUGGGCGUUGGAAGAUUGACGGGGGCUGCUCCUAGUACGAGAGGACCGGAGUGGACG
rnacentral:rRNA from 1 species